UACGGAGGGGGCUAGCGUUGUUCGGAAUUACUGGGCGUAAAGCGCACGUAGGCGGCGCGAACAGUCAGAGGUGAAAGCCCCGGGCUCAACCUGGGAACUGCACUCGGUACUGGCGAGCUAGAGUACGAUAGAGGGUGGUAGAAUUCCUAGUGUAGCGGUGAAAUGCGUAGAUAUAGGAAGGAACACCAGUGGCGAAGGCGACCACCUGGACUGAUACUGACACUGAGGUGCGAAAGCGUGGGGAGCAAACAGG
rnacentral:rRNA from 1 species